UACAGAGACCUCAAGCGUUAUCCGGAAUCAUUGGGCGUAAAGCGUACCGAUAGGUGGUUUAGAAAGUCAGAUGUGAAAUUCCAAGGCUCAACCUUGGGACUGUCAUUUGAAACUUCUAAACUAGAGGGCAAAGAGGAAGCUGGAACGAACGGUGUAGUAGUGAAAUGCGUUGAUAUCGUUCGGAACACCAAUAGCGAAGGCAGGCUUCUGGGUGCCACCUGACACUGCUAGGACGAAAGCGUGGGAGCGAAUGGG
rnacentral:rRNA from 1 species